rnacentral:rRNA from 1 species
GAUGAACGCUGGCGGCGUGCCUAAUACAUGCAAGUCGAGCGAACGGACGAGAAGCUUGCUUUUCUGAUGUUAGCGGCGGACGGGUGAGUAACACGUGGAUAACCUACCUAUAAGACUGGGAUAACUUCGGGAAACCGGAGCUAAUACCGGAUAAUAUUUUGAACCGCAUGGUUCAUAAGUGAAAGACGGUCUUGCUGUCACUUAUAGAUGGAUCCGCGCUGCAUUAGCUAGUUGGUAAGGUAACGGCUUACCAAGGCAACGAUGCAUAGCCGACCUGAGAGGGUGAUCGGCCACACUGGAACUGAGACACGGUCCAGACUCCUACGGGAGGCCGCAGUAGGGAAUCUUCCGCAAUGGGCGAAAGCCUGACGGAGCAACGCCGCGUGAGUGAUGAAGGUCUUCGGAUCGUAAAACUCUGUUAUUAGGGAAGAACAUAUGUGUAAGUAACUGUGCACAUCUUGACGGUACCUAAUCAGAAAGCCACGGCUAACUACGUG